rnacentral:lncRNA from 1 species
UCAUAAUAAUAAUAAUUACAACGCCGGCCCAUAGGGCCUGGCAUGGAUUAACGGGGCAAGGUGACUAGGGCGAGAGGGCCCGCCCCCCUCACGCUGACGCCUCACCACGAAAGAGUCACAACCUCCGAAACUACAACCUCCAAGUCCUAGGCCGCUCUUCAAAGUCCACUACAUCCAAGCCUGCACACCUAGCAUAUCGAGCUAGGGAAACGCCGCGUUAUAGUAGUGGAGCACUGCCAGUUCGUGCAAACCGAGGAGCCAUGGCGCUCCUCCUCGAGCCUUGGAUCUUGAGCCUUGUCUUGAACCUUGGACCUCGCCACUAAAUCGGACUUCUGCACCACGACCUUUCUAGGUUGCAGCGGGCAUAAGCCCGCAAUUGCCACUAAGGGCAAUUACCUAUCGUUCGUGGGAUCACCAAUCGGUUUCGCACCAAUCUUUCGCCUUUUGCAUAAUUGGGCUUUUAUCCGGAUUCGUACCCGGGUCCCUUCUGCCGUAAGGACGAGUCAAAUCGCUAACUGAGUUAGCGAUCCGGUGAUAAGGCUACCUAUUCAAUG